AAAAAAAAACGCUAACCAAAGGUGUCGUAUUCAACGCACGGCAGCAUAUACACGCACCCUCCCUCUCUGUCCCUCUCCGCACCCGUCGUGCGUAAUCUGAUUGUUCCCAGUCGCUCGCCCCCCCUUCCCUCCUCCGUUGGCUGCGUCUCCUUAGUGGCCCUCCCUCUCGCCGUUCCGUCAGAGAUCUCUCUCGCUGUGUGUGUGUGUGUGUGUGUGUUCGUUCCACUUCUGCCGUGUUGUGACGUCUGUGCAAGGCACCCCCUCGUGUGCGCCGCAUCCACUGCGCUGUUGUUGUGUAUCGGGGGAGAGGGGCUUAUUGGCCAUCGCUGCUGCCCUCGCUCGCGCGCUGAUUCUCUGCCGCAUCACCUGCACAGAGAAGGGUGCAUGCAUGCGACGCUGAGGCUAACGUGCCCUUUUUUCCUUCACUCUUGUCUAGUGGUCUGUGCGGCGUGUCUGCCGUCGGUGGCCGUGUGAAGCGUUUUUGUGCAGCGCUCGCCGUCUGCUAAUCCCGAUCGUCGUCACCCCGGACUGGAGGCGAAGCCGAACCAGACGAAGACGAUCACCAGGCGAGAGCGUACACGGCUUGCUCGUCUCUGCCCACCUGCCGUCCGCAACGCCAAAAGUGCAAGUCUGGUGUAGGUCUGUUGUACGCCCUGCUUUCUCCCUUUUCGUGGCCCACACACGCACACAAAGAGACACGAUGGAGGAUCCACAGGUGGCGGCGGUGGCUGGCCGCCCCGGUAGCGCGUCCGAGAUGAACCGCCACAUCCGCUCUGACCUUCGCCACCACUACAUCUUCUCGCGCGUCAAGGACUUCCUCUCCGGCGGCGACGCUGCCAAGGCGGAUGAGCUGGCGCGGCAGUUGGAUCGCAACUUCACGGACGGCUCGGCGAACUUCAUGGUCGUCCAUGACCUCCUCCAGGGCACCGGCGCCAACACGCUGCUGUUCACAUAUCAGCCGGCGAGCGCCUUCGCCGCGGCGGGCGUUGCAGCAUCCCCGGACGCGAAGGCGGGGAAUGGUGGUGACGCUGGUGCGGCUACGGAUACCCAUGCCGCCGCCACCGACGCCGGCAGCGGGGAGGACGUGCUGCAGGUGCUGGACCCCACGAAGAGCACCAUCGAGCACAUCACGAAGCGCUUCGUCUACGUCAUACGCGCCGACACCGGUAAGCCGAUAAACACGAAAGACUUGACGCAGGUGGUGCAGGAGGUGUCGAUGGGCAUCAUGCGGGCGAACGUGCUCACCAGCUAUGAGCACCUGCUGACGGAGGUGUACACGCCGCUGUUGAACCGGAUGCGCAACUGGGGCAAGAACACGGUGGACGAGAAGAACCAGUUCAUCGUGACCCUGAUGCAUUACGCGGACCGCGUGAACGAGCUGCAGCAGCUGCAAGACGACACGGCGAUGCUGAACCCGGUGGACCAGGCAACAUGGAAGCACCUGCGUAGCGGCGGGGUCAGCAAGCGCGGCGGCACGAGCGACACGACGGUGGUGACCAGGCUCGCGCAGACUGUGGAGAGCUGGAUUCAGACGGUAAACGAAGCUGUGGCGCAGGUGCCGAACUACGAGGCGGAGCUGCAGGACGAGCGCGCUGGCCCGAAGACGGAGAAAGAGCUGUGGAAGACCAGGCUCGCCAAGUUGCGCUUGCUCGAGGAGCAGCUGCAACGCUUCUCGGCUACGCAGGCGGUGCAGUACCUUCGUGAGGUGCGCAGCCCGCUGGUGGCGCAGUGGACGGAGAUGGACACAAACCUGACGGAGGCGCUGGCGGAGGCACAGGAGAACGUCAAGUACCUGCAGUCAUUGGAUACCUACUUCGAUGUACUAUACUCGUCCAACCUGCAGCGCAUCAUGACGAUUAUGCCAACGCUCAUCACGAACAUUCGCAUGAUGUACACCAUUGCUCGCUACUACCCCACCCGCGAGCACAUGACCGCGCUCUUCUUCAAGAUCACCAAUGAGAUCGUGCUGGCGUGCAAGCGCGCCAUCAACCCGUCCGGGACACGCUCCCGCAUCUGGGAUAUGACGCACGACGCCGCUUCGCUGCAGGACCUGAUUGCCCGCCUGCAGGCAAGCGCGAAGCUGAACGAGGUGUACAUUCGGGAGUACCGCAAGGCGCAGGAGUACUUCCUCAGCCACAGCUCCAGCAGCGGCGGCCGCCUCUUCGACUUUGACGAGCUGCGCUUUCUCGGUCACUUCAAUUUGUUCGCCAAGCGCGUGGACAAGCUCAUCACCGUCUUCCGCAAGGUGGAGCAGUUCCGCCUGCUCAAGAGCUUCCACGUGGAUCAGAUGGCGAGCCUGCUGCCCCGCUUCGACGAGUACCUCGGCCACCUGCGCGGCAAGACGACGGACAUCCUCGACGUGCACGACAACAACAAGUUCGACGUGGAGUUCAAGAUUUUCGAAAGCCGGCUGUCGGAGCUGGAGACGUCGAUGCAGGUCGCCAUCAACUCCUCCUUCGAGAACAUCACGUCUACCGACAACGCGCUGCUGUUGCUGAAG
rnacentral:misc_RNA from 1 species